rnacentral:rRNA from 1 species
UACGUAGGGUGCAAGCGUUGUCCGGAAUUAUUGGGCGUAAAGAGCUCGUAGGCGGUUCUGUCGCGUCUGCUGUGAAAACCCGAGGCUCAACCUCGGGCCUGCAGUGGGUACGGGCAGACUAGAGUGCGGUAGGGGAGAUUGGAAUUCCUGGUGUAGCGGUGGAAUGCGCAGAUAUCAGGAGGAACACCAAUGGCGAAGGCAGAUCUCUGGGCCGUAACUGACGCUGAGGAGCGAAAGCAUGGGGAGCGAACAGG